rnacentral:lncRNA from 1 species
ACUGUGUUUCAAUAAAACUUUAUUUAUGAAAACAAAUGAGAAGCUGGACAUGGCUGAAGGGCCACAGUUUGCCAACCCUUGCACUAGCUAAAGGAAGAGCAUGAGGGAAGAAACUGUAGCAUCUUCCUCUCAUUACCAAAGGCAGAACACUAGGCAUAAUUAUACACACACACAUGCACACACAUAUACUCAAACAUUUGUUUAAAAAGAAAACCUCACACAUUUGUGAUGAAACUAUAGAUUCAAUUCUUUAAAUUGUGGUAAAAUACACAUAACAUAAAAUUUACCAUUUUAGCCAUUUUAAAUGUACAGUUCAGUGGUAUUAAGUACAUUCACAUUGUUGUGCAACCAUCACCACCAUCCAUUCGUCUCCAGAACUUUAUUCAUCUUGCAAAACUGAAACUCUAUACCCAUUAAACAUUAAACCCUAUUUCCCUCUCCCUCCAGCCUCUGGCAACCACCCUUCUAUUUUCUGUCAUUAUGAUUUUACUACUCCUGGGACCUCAUGUAAGUGGAAUCAUGGCUGGGCAUGGUGGCUCACGCCUAUAAUCCCACCACUCUGGGAGGCUGAGGAGGGUGGAUUGCCUGAGCUCAGGAGUUCCAGACCACCCAGAGCAACAUGGUGAAACCCCGUCUCUACUAAAAAUACAUAAAAUUAACUGGGUGUGGUUGUGCAAGCCUCUAGUCCCAACUUCUUGGGAGGCCGAGGCAGGAGAAUUGCUUGAGCCCCAAGAGAUAAAGGUUGUAGUGAAGGCCGAGAUCACGCCACUGCACUCCAGCUUGGGCUACAGAGUGAGACUCCAUCUCAAAAAAAAAAAAAAAAAAAAAAAAAGAAAGUGGAAUCAUACAAUAUUGCCCUUUUUUUGAUUGGCUUAUUUCACUUGGUUCAUUUAUUUUUAUUUAUUUAUUUAUUUUGAGAUAGAGUUUCGCUCUUUUGCCCAGGCUAGUGUGAAGUGGCACGAUCUUAGCUCACUGCAACCUCUGCCCCCCGGGUUCAAGCAAUUCUCAUGCCUCAGCUUACGGAAUAGCUGGGAUUAUAGGUUCCCACCACCAUGCCCCACUAAUUUUGUAUUGUUAGUAGAGAUGGGGUUUUGCCAUGUUGGCCACUCUGGUCUUGAACUCCUGACCUCAGGUGAUCCACCCGCCUUGGCCUCCUAAAGUGCUGGGAUUACAGGCGUUAGCCACCGCGUCUGUCUUUUAAGGUUAAUUUAUGUUAUAACAUAUGUCAGAGUAUAGAUUCAAUUUUAUAAAUUUUAAAAACCUAACGAUAUUUCCUGCAUACUUUUCCAGGUCAUUAAAAACUUCUGGUAAAUACAAUUUUUAAAGGGUACAUAAUAUUUCACUGAAUUAGACUGACUAAAGGAUAAUUCAUUAGAGGCCAGGACAACCUUCUCUACUUUCGAGGAGAGCUAGCCGCUCCCCUAAUCACAGAUGAUUGGAUUGGGGACCAAUGCAGUAGCAAAGGCUACCCAACUACACAUGAGCUGGGCCCUGGCUGCCCAGUGGAGAUGCUGCCUAUAGAAUGGCCCUGAAAUGAAUCAAUAAAAUCUGGGAUAGUAGAGCUGCAGGGCAAACAAAAUGAAAGCAGGUCCCACUGUGUUAGGAAAUCAACUCCAUCCUAAUAAAUAAUCUGAUUUUGUCUCUUCUGUUUACCCUGAUGAACUUGGCAGGCAUAACUUAUACAUCCAUCAUGUGGAUGAUUCAUAUUUAUAAGCAUUCUCCUUUGGUGGACAUUUAGGUUAUUCCCAAUAUUUUGCUAUUACAAAUAAUGUUUCAAUAAACAUCUUUGUACAUAACCCUUUUUUACAUAUCCAGUCACUUCCUUGGAAAGGCUGAGUGAGUGUAUCUUUGGCAGCAAAUUCGCUGUGACUGGGAAUUGUUUAGCCCUUUGGCCUCCAAGAAGUUUGAGGAUCCAAGAUGGCUCCACUGCUAAAACAUUGAUUGACUGCUCAUAAGGAGAACUGGCAAGAGCUGAACAAGAUAUGAAGCUUCCAGUCCUACAAAGUUUCUUAUUAGGAUAAGGCUCAAGCUUAGAGGGGCAGGCCAAAAAAUCAAGCAGGACAAUAGGGCAAGACUGGCUAGGAAGAAAAGCCUAGGUCAUAAGCCCAUGCUGGUGAACUGAGCCUGUUCAUUGUGGAGUGGCAUUGAGGUUGAGGGUGACAUGGGGGAUAGAGUCUUCUGAUGGGUGGUUAUACAAACAACAGGGCCCUUCCUUAGCUUAAUGAAUCCUUGGUCUAUUGGACCUACAGGAAACUUGAAGGAAGAAAGUAACUACACAGUAGUAUCACACUCUGUGUGCUGGGCUGCAGUAAAAUUAUUUACUCAUAUCCAGUUCUCCUCCACUUUCUGGUAAUAAGGAAGGUGAUGAUUCUUAGGCCCUUGCAGGUUGGCAGGGCUACAUGACUAGUUCUAGCCAAUGGACCAAAACUGGAAUGCCAUUGUAUCAUUUCUGGGAUGAGAUGGUUAAAACCUCAAACUUGGCCCAUCCCUCAUCUUUCCCCUGUCUUAGUAUCCCUGAACACCAUGUGUUGUGAUGGUGACAUUAUAAGAUGGAACCUUUCUCAGCCUGGGUUCUUGAGUAAUAAUAUGGAGCACUGCCUUCCACUAACCUAUGUUGGACGUAUAUUGUGAUGAGAAAUUAAUUUUCUUUUUUUGAGAUGGAGUCUUACUCUGUCUCAGGAAAAAAAAUAAAAAAGGGCUACUGAUAUUGCCUCUGCUCCUGUUAGGAGUGGGAACUGAUUUGGGAAGGAGGUUGCUCUUGCAGGUGAAGACAUCAGUAGACUCAGUAUUAGGUCGCUGAGUAAGACUCUGAGUAAGUGAAGAAAAAUGAGAUGGGGCUGAAAGAUGGUAAUAUUCCUGUUAUCACUGAAGAUCAAGUCAUUUUCUCUCCAGGAUGACAAUUGACAAUGCAGACUAAUUUUUUCACAAAUGUUCAUUCUUGCUUCUACUGGUGACAUGUGGGCAGGCACGGCAGGAGGAGGUCACAAUCAUCUGAGUGUUGCAGAGUUAUUCAUCUGGUGCAGAAUGGGGUGACAGCUCACUGAGACUUAGCAUUCUGUUGGAUUGAGUCACUCUGCAUGUCAUGCUGUCUCAGCAUCAAAUCAUCCUCUUAGGUCUAGGUUUCAAAGGGGUCCUGAGAAGUAAGUCCCUAUAGUUUCUAAAGUCUCUGGGUACCUUCUUGGCUCUGUUGGGG